rnacentral:ncRNA from 2 species
GUGUUCUUAAAAAGGAGAGAUGGUUGGCAUCUCCCCUGACAGGGACGGGAGCAGCCUUCGGGCUUUCCUGUUAUCAGCACAUGCGGUAAAGGCUACCCCCCAUCACGGUGGAUCUCUAACCCAAUUUUUUU